GGACCCCGCACUUACUUACGGCUUCUCUGUUGUCCCUGCUCUACUCAUGGCUCUCAGUAUUACAUUUUCAUCUUAUGCCAAUGAUCAAGAUUCCCACAAAACUCCCUUCUCCUCUAUUUUGUCUUGUAUAAAAACAACCAAAAAGACCCACCCUCAUCCUUUUUUUUUUUUUCAAUUCGUUCUUCCUGCCCACAGACUCAUGACAUCCAGUACGCAGAGCAGUCGUUCCGCAGAGCUGGGGCUGAGGGCUCUCGCCAUCUCCUCGAUUCCCACCUGCCCCGUCCCUCAGGACGCCCCGAGGGGGCCUCACCGAGCGCCCCUGCACGUCUUUCACGCCCGAUGACCGUUUGUCCAGCACCCGCGGGAGGGCCACCAGGCACAAGGCAGACACUCAGUGACCGAGGGACACGUGAAUGACUGAAUGGGCUGAGGCAACAGCACACCGAGAUCUGUUCUCUGAGCCACCAGCUUCCAGAGCUGAACACGGAGAGGAGGACGCACGAGAUGUGGGCACAGCUGGGUCAAGGGCAGUGGCCCCCGCCCCCCACGCCUGCCCAGCACAGCCAGAGCCAACGGACUGCCGGGUAGAACCUGGACGGUAUCACUUUGUUGUCUGAACAGAAGCUUGAAAGAGAAAACAGAGAGAGGAAAUGGAAACUCCUAGAAGUUAAGCCCAGAGCACCACAGCCCGGCAGCGGUCAGACGCUAGAGGAGACAGAAGCAGAGCUCCCCCCGAGGACCUGCAGUCCUGGAAGGGUCUUCAGCAACGUCUGAUGCAGAUGCUGUGUCACACAGGGACGGGGAGGUGAAGGGCAGGGGACGUAGAGCCGGCCCACCCCGGCGCAGGUAUGGGAGCUUGGGCCUGUGGUGUCGCAAACCCCCACCCCCACCCCAGGCUGGGUGAGCCACGUGAAUGGAGAGCGAAGCCAGGGAAGUUAGCAGAGUAAAGCCAGCCAGUCUGACAGGGGAGGAGCUUAGCUGUCGGAGGAGGGGGCCUGGCCCGACUAAGGCCCCUUGGGCUGAACACAGGACCAGUGUGUUCACCGCUGGGGUGUGGCUCUGACAAAAAUAAAAAGGGAAGAAGUAGGGGAAAUGUGUCAUAUUUCCUUUGGCAGAAACACGAGCCCAGGUUCUUAGUUUUCAAAACUGGGCCGCAGUGGUGCCUCCCAAGUGUGUGCAGUGCGGGGCAGCUGCCCGGGGUGGGGAGGGGAGAGGCCCCACAGUGGCUUUUUACGCAGUGUGCGACAGUCAGAUGUCCUUUAUGCUGCGCGUUAAUGAAAGCAGCUUCGCCCACAGAAAUGGGACCAGAGCACAAGACUGCACUUGGGGGUCAAAAUCAUGGGUCUGCAGACCCCCAUGUACAUAAGCUGCUCGAGUUGGCCGCGUCUGGGGUUCCAGCAGUGCCACCUGGCUCUUGGACCAUCUGUUUUGCUGCUUAUUAGCCCCUGCAAGCAGAUGAUCCAGCUGGGAGCAGAGGUCAAAGACAGUUCUGAGAGCGAAAAACUCCUUCUGAAGGCGUGUGUGCCUGUGCCUUGGGCCCGCCUGCAUCUGGUGGUUAGCGGUGGGGCUCCACAGCCGGUUGAUGGGAGGCUAAGACUGGGGUUCACGGGACCAAAGCAGAGGGCCAAGGCGAGUAGUACUGGAAACUAGGGCUGCCGCUGGCUGUUGGGUCUCCUGCCUGGCCCUCGCCUACAAUCCUGACAUGAGAGCCACAGCCCCCCUCCUACUGAGGGGGCCAGGGUUUCUCCUCUUGUGAUGCCAUGAAUGGCAUAUUCUGGAUGGUUCCCUCUGUCACAGGCCCUGAGGAAUCAGUAGCACUCUGGGCAAACCAGGGGCCUGGAUUCACUGAGCUCACUUUCUUGUUGGGAGAAAAGGCCAACAGUACACUUUUAAAAAACAUAAUGGUAACUUCUGGAAAGAUUUGGGAAGGAAACAAACAGGGUGAAGUAAAGGAGAGACAGCAGCAGGAGGAAGCCGUUAGCCUGGAUCAAUGGGUCAGGGAGGGCCUGCGUGGGGAGGAGACAUCUUGGUUUGAGGCCUGAGGGACCUGAAAGAGCCCUCUGGAGUCUUCCAGAGCCUUCCAGGGAGUGAGGGCCGUAGCUAUAAACACCUGGUUGGGAGACGAACAGAUUUCCAGGGCUGGGGUGCCUGCAGCCCUGUGACAGAGGAGAGGGGACGAGACAAGUCUGGACAGGUGAGCUGUCCCCAGUCCCUGAGGGUCUUGUAGGCCAGGGUGACAAGUGUGAAUUCUAUCCUUCUAACCAAGUGUUCCCUUAACUCACAUCCCUGUUCCCCCAAACCCAAGGAGCUUGGCGCCCAGAUGGCAGGCAGACCUGGGAUUUGGGACAGACGGAGUGAAGUCCUGGGAUUACCUCGCGCACAUCCUGCCGGCUGGGCCUGCGGGAAGCACCCAGGCCUACCUGAGUGUGGUUACACCCCAGGGUGGGGGCUGGGGGCGACAGUACUAAGGCCUAGACCUUAAGCUUUGCAAGAGGUCUUUAGGGAGUUGGCUGAAAGGAUGGUUAAGUUUCCCAAGAACUUCACCUGAGUCUUCUCAGGGCAGGAGAGGGUUCUUCCCUGGGGAGUUUGUAAUACAUAUGAAAGGGCUUCAAGCCAGGCACAAAAUAACCCUGAGAAAGUAAAUCACCCCUAAACUGAGUAGCCAAUGCUGUGAGGCCUCCCCCUCCAGCCUUCAGGGCCAGAUCUGGGAGCCUGAGAAAGCCGGUCUUGGCGGGUGUGGAUGGGCUGCCUGAGCAGAGAGCCGGGGCUGCGGCUCCUUCUGGCCCUCCGCCCUGGGGAGCACCCCCACGGCCCCGCUGCGGCCCAGCAGACAGACGGCAGCUCCCCUCACAGAAGCGCUGGGCGGCUGGGGACCCCCUCCCAAAGUCUGUUGACAUCUAGGCUGGGGGAGACCCGGGGAUUCCUUCAUAUCACUGGGCCACGACAUGGAGGCCACAGCGGGGCCCAGACCAAGUCAGCCUGUCUGGGAGGCACCCGUCAAGGAGACCUAACUCACACACACACAGAGCACGGCCCCCAGUGCGCUUCCGCCAGCUGGCCGUACCCCGCAAAGCGGGACCUACCAGCCAGUCGUGCCCACGGCUUCCCACACUGCUCUUUUCUCGGCCAUUCGCUCUGGCCCCCAAUCCCACGCCAGCGCUCCAGGCUCCGCGAGGCGCUGUACUCCCCCAAUCCACGGCUCGUCGUCCCUCACAUCAAGGAAGGGCAAACCCAUGACUGAACGGUUUUCAUUUUGUCAUUUGACAGGGCUGAGAACGCCGAGGUGCUGUCAGCCCCGGGUACCAAUCUCUGAGGACUCUCAGUUCUAAUGAGAACGCGCUGUCCGUGGAUUCCAAGAUCAAACCUGCAGGCAGGUUACACUGACUACAUCACUUGAAGUUGUACCAUUCUGAUGGCCACGGCAGGCUAGAGUCAGCGAAGUAAUCCCCGGAUCCAGUUCCCAGGUGGAUUCCCAGACAUAACAGGGGAAAUUGGAUCCCAACCCCCCAAAUGGUAACCCCCCAGGGGUACUGGGAGGGACUUCUGGAAGCGGGAGUAUCUCAGAAAAGCCGCACGUAGGAAGUUAAUGUGUGAUAAAAGUGGCAUUACAGGGGCGCCUGGAUGGCUCAGUGGGUUAAGCCGCUGCCUUUGGCUCAGAUCACGGUCUCGGGAUCGA